rnacentral:rRNA from 1 species
GGGGACCGGUUAUCGGGUAUUACUGGGGCGUAAAGCGUGUGUAGGCGGUUCGGAAAGAAAGAUGUGAAAUCCCAGGGCUCAACCUUGGAACUGCAUUUUUAACUGCCGAGCUAGAGUAUGUCAGAGGGGGGUAGAAUUCCACGUGUAGCAGUGAAAUGCGUAGAUAUGUGGAGGAAUACCGAUGGCGAAGGCAGCCCCCUGGGAUAAUACUGACGCUCAGACACGAAAGCGUGGGGAGCAAACAGGAUUAGAUACCCUGGUAGUCCACGCCCUAAACGAUGUCAACUAGCUGUUGGGGCCGUUAGGCCUUAGUAGCGCAGCUAACGCGUGAAGUUGACCGCCUGGGGAGUACGGUCGCAAGAUUAAAACUCAAAGGAAUUGACGGGGACCCGCACAAGCGGUGGAUGAUGUGGAUUAAUUCGAUGCAACGCGAAAAACCUUACCUACCCUUGACAUGUCUGGAAUGCCGAAGAGAUUUGGCAGUGCUCGCAAGAGAACCGGAACACAGGUGCUGCAUGGCUGUCGUCAGCUCGUGUCGUGAGAUGUUGGGUUAAGUCCCGCAACGAGCGCAACCCUUGUCAUUAGUUGCUACGCAAGAGCACUCUAAUGAGACUGCCGGUGACAAACCGGAGGAAGGUGGGGAUGACGUCAAGUCCUCAUGGCCCUUAUGGGUAGGGCUUCACACGUCAUACAAUGGUCGGGACAGAGGGUCGCCAACCCGCGAGGGGGAGCCAAUCUCAGAAACCCGAUCGUAGUCCGGAUCGCAGUCUGCAACUCGACUGCGUGAAGUCGGAAUCGCUAGUAAUCGCGGAUCAGAAUGUCGCGGUGAAUACGUUCCCGGGUCUUGUACACACCGCCCGUCACACCAUGGGAGUGGGUUUCACCAGAAGUAGGUAGCCUAACCGUAAGGAGGGCGCUUACCACGGUGGGAUUCAUGACUGGGGUGAAUCUAAGGGGGGGGGCCCGCAGAAAAGGCGCGGUCUCUUUUCCCG